AUUUCCUCAAUCUCUUUACACAAACUACAUAGAAGCUAAUCAAUUGCUGGAUGAGGAUUUCCACGUUGGAGAGAUAGGACCCAGGAAGCCAGAAAUUGCAAACGAGCAGACUGCUUCUCCACCAUCAACUACAAUUUUAACAACAUAGGGUGAUGAUUAAACUUUAGGAAGUCCAAAUGCAUCACUGUCGUUGAAGGGAAAAGAUUAAUCCACAUAUCAUUAGUGAGGCAUCGAUCAAGUCUAUUGCAGCUCUGCCUUCAUUGCCAGGCAGAGACACAUUGAGAAAGCGUGCAAGGCUUGAGAGGGAUGGCAAUUGCACACUCCCCAUAAUAUGGUCCCAGCAUGAGCACGCCUGUCGCCACCACAAGCAACAUUAUGAACACUUUCUUCAUCAUUAUUACUUCCAUUGCAAUCCCUCUAUUGAUCCAACCACGUAUGAAAUGCUCUAUGUCUUCUUUAUUUAUUUAUAUAUAGGGAUAAUGAGGAUCCUUUGAUAUAUCUUUAAGGAUAUGUAUAAAAAGAAUAAGGAAAAAUAUUAUGUAGAUAAUCUCAACGAAGAUAUCGUGAUUCAUAAGA